rnacentral:rRNA from 1 species
AUUGAACGCUGGCGGCAGGCCUAACACAUGCAAGUCGAACGGUAACAGGAAGCAGCUUGCUGCUUUGCUGACGAGUGGCGGACGGGUGAGUAAUGUCUGGGAAACUGCCUGAUGGAGGGGGAUAACUACUGGAAACGGUAGCUAAUACCGCAUAACGUCGCAAGACCAAAGAGGGGGACCUUCGGGCCUCUUGCCAUCGGAUGUGCCCAGAUGGGAUUAGCUAGUAGGUGGGGUAACGACUCACCUAGGCGACGAUCCCUAGCUGGUCUGAGAGGAUGACCAGCCACACUGGAACUGAGACACGGUCCAGACUCCUACGGGAGGCAGCAGUGGGGAAUAUUGCACAAUGGGCGCAAGCCUGAUGCAGCCAUGCCGCGUGUAUGAAGAAGGCCUUCGGGUUGUAAAGUACUUUCAGCGGGGAGGAAGGGAGUAAAGUUAAUACCUUUGCUCAUUGACGUUACCCGCAGAAGAAGCACCG